UUGAACUUUUAUGGUUUGUAUAAAAUAGGUCGCAAUUAUCGGUAUUAGGGGGCACGGGAAAGUUCAAGAAUGCAAGGGGGUUUGCUUAACUGAUAGCAUUUAUCUGUCAAAGUUUUAAUGUUUGGUACACUUAAGUGUCUAUUUUUCUCCAAGGUUUUUAAAUUGGACCUUUCAUAACUAUCAUGUUUUUAACUUUCCUAAAACUAUCACAACCUAGAUCAAUGUGAAUUGUCGAGUUUCUUGUCAUCAAACAUUAGAACAAUCACUUGAAUCAUUGUACAAUUGUAUGAAAAUUAUCCUUAUGAUUUCAUGUUCUUGCUAGAUGAACCAUAUCCCUCUACAACUCUGAUUCAAUAUUUCAAAGUGCUAUACACAAAGAUCAUAACUUGAGCUACUAGGAUCGGAUUGAUGCGUUCUAAUAUGCGUUGGAAAGUUGAGAGGAUAAGCUAAAAGUUUCAUGUUGAAGUUAGAAGCUGAUUCGGAGUGAAGAAGAGUCGAAUAAUUCAUUUUAUUUCCAGACUUAAGAAAAUACUUAGUUUUUUUGGUUGAUUUUGUAUUUUUUCGGAUCGGUUGCUAUUAGGCCCAAAUUCCCUUCCUCUAUUUAAACAACUUAGUAGUUCUAGGAUGAGGGGGAUUCAGAAUUCAUGAAAUAAAGAAUAGGGCAUAUGAAUACCAUGGAGAGCUAAUUCCCAAAUAGUUGAUCUGCUGCAUUCGAAUUUCAUUUUGAGGUUUUUAUUAAUUUCAGUUUAAUUUCAAUUUCUUUUCAA